rnacentral:rRNA from 1 species
GACGAACGCUGGCGGCGUGCUUAACACAUGCAAGUCGAACGGUGAAGCGCCUUCCUUUUUGGUGGGUGUGGAUGAGUGGCGAACGGGUGAGUAACACGUGAGUAACCUACCCCCUUCUUCUGGAUAACCGCAUGAAAGUGUGGCUAAUACGGGAUAUUCUGGGUCUGUCGCAUGAUGGGUCUGGGAAAGAUAUUGUUUCGGUGGGGGAUGGGCUCGCGGCCUAUCAGCUUGUUGGUGGGGUGAUGGCCUACCAAGGCGGUGACGGGUAGCCGGCCUGAGAGGGUGGACGGUCACAAUGGGACUGAGACACGGCCCAGACUCCUACGGGAGGCAGCAGUGGGGAAUAUUGCACAAUGGGCGCAAGCCUGAUGCAGCGACGCCGCGUGAGGGAUGGAGGCCUUCGGGUUGUGAACCUCUUUCGCCAGUGAAGCAGGCCUGCCUCGUUUGUGGGUGGGUUGACGGUAGCUGGAUAAGAAGCGCCGGCUAACUACGUG